rnacentral:lncRNA from 1 species
CGGGGCUGGGGCCGAGCAAGGAGCCCGCGAGGCGGCGAGAGGCCGAGCGCCAGGCCGGCCGGCCCGGGGCCCCGCCCCGCCCCCCGCCGCCCGCCCGAUGGGGAACGCUCCGUCCCAAGGCAUGUCCCUGUCCUCUCCCUCCCUAAUGUGCCUCCAUGCUUAGUGGAAGCCACAGAGCACACUGGAGACUCCGGACUCAGGCGCACAGUGGGGCUCCUGGACCCUGAGCCCACAGAGACGUCCCAGCCCAGGACCCUUCCCUCCAGGGGCCCCAUAGAGGGCUCCAGCGAGCGGCGGGAGGGAAGCCUGCAGGACUCUGUUCCCUCUGUUUAAAGUCUCCAGAUGAUGUCAUGUGUGAACGUCGCCCAGCCAGAGGCAGCCAGAGGACAGGGACUGGUGACAUCCGGGGAAAGGACGCCAGGUGGGGACGGGCCUGCCGGUUUAGCAGACGGUGGCGCCGAGCUGGAGGAUCUUCCUUCUCCUGAAGAGUGACAGUGAUCGCAUGCGGGCACCUGCGCCUCUACUCGUGGCCAGCCACUGGGGGGCGCCCGCCGCCUCCUCAUCCGCAGGUCUGAACGGAGGGCGACACAGGCCCCUGCCCAGGCCCAGCCUCUGCUUCCCUUCCUGCUGAGGCUCCCUGUCACGCGUGCUGGCAUCUUCCUGCACCUCGUCCUGGGCAGGCGUGACCUCAGGCGCCCAACAGGCUGGGGGAGUGAAGUCAUUUCCAGAACAGCACCCCCAUUAGAAGCCCAGGCUGCUCCUCCCAGUCCCUGUGGGCCCCACAGAAAAAAAGUUGAAUCCAUGCAACAGGUGUGGAACCCCGGAUCACCUGCAUGGCGCCAUCCUUCUCUCUGAACCUCGGGGUCCUUCCUUGUUAAAUAAAGCCAAGAUCUGG